rnacentral:ncRNA from 1 species
AUAGGUGAUCAAUGGCGCACAUGGAAUCCUAUGUGAAUCAACAAGGACCACAUUACAAGGCUAAAUACUCCUAGGCAACCGAUAGUGAAGUAGAACCAUGAGGGAAAGGUAAAAAGAACCCCCGUUAAGAAGUAAAAUAGAACAUGAAACCAUAAGCUCCCGAGAAGUGGAAGGAGCCCAAGGCUCUAACCACAUGCCUGUUAAAGAAUGAGCCGAAAACUCAUAAGCAGUGGCUUGAUUAAGGGAACUCAGCGGAGCCGUAGCAAAAGCAAGUAUUCGUAGGGCAAUUGUCACUUCUUAUGGACCCAAACCUGGGUGAUCUAUCCAUGACCAGGAUGAAGCAUGAGUGAAACUAAGUGGAGGUCUUAACCGAUUGAUGUUGAAGAAUCAGCGGAUGAGUGGGGUAAUGGGUGAAAUGCCACUUGAACCCAAAGCUAGUUGGUUUUCCUCGAAAUGCGUUGAGGCGCAGCAGUUGACUGGACAUCUAGGGGUAAAGCACUAUUUUGGUGUGGGCCGCGAGAGCGGUACCAAAUCGAAGCAAAAUAUAAAUACUAGAUAUGACCUUAAAAUAACAAGGGUCGAGGUCGGCCAAUAAGGCGAUAGGGGAUAAGCUUCAUUGUUGAGAGGGAAACCGCUUGGAUCACCAGCUAAGGCCCCUAAAUGACCGCUCUAUGAUAAAAGAGGUAGAGCUGCAGAGAUAGCCAAUAGGUUUGCCUAGAAGCAGCCACCCUUAACAGAGUACGUAAUAGCUCACUGAUCAAGCGCUCUUACGCUAAAGAUGAAAGGGGCUAAGUGAUCUGCCAAAGCUGCAGGAUGUAAAAAUGCAUCGGUCGGGGAAUGUUCUGUCUUAGGGGGAAGCACCCGUGUGAGCGGGAGUAGAUGAAGUAGAAGUGGGAAUGUCAGCUUGAGUAAUGCAAACAUUGGUGAGAAUCCAAUACCCCGAAAACCCAAGGGUUCCUCCGCAAGGUUCAUCCAGAGAGGGUGAGUCAGGGCCUAAAAUCAUGCCGAAAGGCAUAGUCGAUAGACAACAGGUGAAUAUUCCUGUACUACCCCUUGUUGGUCUCGAGGGAUGGAGGAGGCUACGUUACCCGAAAGACGGUUAUCGAUUCAAGGAUGCAAGGUGCCCUUACUUUUUCAGGGUAAGAAGGGGUAGAGAAAAUGCCCCAUGUGAUAGCCCAAAAUUGACCCUAGUCGGAAUGUGGUUUCGGGACCACAAAACCGAGGCAUAAAAAUAAUU